UACGUUUUAAUUUUUAACUCUAUUUGUUGUGAUGUCUUAAUUGAUUUUAAUUUUUUAUAUUAUUUUUUUGUAAAAUAUUUUAAUUUAUUUUUUUUUUGUUGAGAUAUCAAAAAUUUGUUUUUUGAACUGGAUUAGUACCCAGGUAAUCAAAAUUAAUUAAUUCGGGAGUAAAGUUUUAUUUAAACCGAAAAAAUAUUGACUGACUUUAGAUUUUUCUUUGGAAUAUGUGUUUUGGAGAGCCCUCCUUUUUAGUGAUUUUUGUUGGCACAUGUAUGAUUGUUUAGUUUUUAUUUUGUUUUGUAAUGCUUUUUGUUUUUUACAUUUAAAACAGAUAUAUAUUUGGCUUAUAAAUUUAUUUUUCAUGUAUUACUAUUAUAAAUUUUUUUUGGAUUAAUUUUUUAUUUUUUUUUGAAAUUGGAAAAGAAAGUAAUUUUUUUUUUAAUGUUUUGGUGAAUUUAAUAAAUAAAGU
rnacentral:rRNA from 1 species